GUGGACCAAUCGCCAGGUUGUCCCACACUAUAUAAAGCAAUAGAGGGUGCAUUUUCUCUCUCUUCAGUUCAAGCUAAAUGCAAAGGUGGACACACGAUAAACCCUGCUCAGCCCAAUAUGGCUGCAUUGCUACUGCAGAAUAGCUCAAUGGUAUCUUCUGAGCAGACCUCAGACGGUGGAAUAACAAAUGGAUAUGCAGAAGAAUUAGUCAAUCUGAAGACCCUAUAAAAUGGGAUUCGAAUGAACCAGUGGACAUUUUAAUUGGAGGCUUAUAACCUCGGAUGGCUUGAGAAUUAACCACGGAACAUUCUGAAGGUCUCGUACCAACUGAAAUGGCAGCGGUGAUGACCAAUCACCUUGGGAUUGAACAGCCGGUCUUGUGACUGGCAUUGACCAAUCACACUUCAACGUUGAUAUACCCGUAAUACGGGUUUUAAGGUCUUGUGAAAAAGUGAGGCCUGUCAUACAACAAUGGCCUUCUCCUGCCCGCAUAACAUCCAAUGACGUGGGAAUUCUACUGACGGCCUGUAUGCAGCUGCUGCUCGAAAAAUGGAUAAGGCUCACAUCCUUCCAAUGAGUGAAGCUAAAUAAGACAAUAUUAUUGGUGCUGUAAGCUCAUCAAGAGCCAGGUUGAAUGAUAGAAAAAUAUUUCCUCUCCACUUGUAAAGCCCUUUUACUGCAAUAAAGAUGCAUUAACCCUGCAAUGUA